GGGAGCGAAAGCUUAGAGUCUUGCCAGAGUGUGAUGAGACUUGGACUCGACCAGCGUUGGAAAACAAUGUGACCUACACUGGGACAUACGAGUCCUGACAGCCAUUUCUGAAAAACCUAGCUAAGUCCAGGUCUCCUGCCUGGGAGCAAAUAUUCUCUCACUGCAUCUCAGGAUUACAGACCUCCAGUCCCUGGUUCCACAUUUCUCAGCAACAUGAGCUGAUGGCUGUUCCCGGAGGAUCAACUUGCCAAUACCACCAGCUAGUCCCACGCUUGGAUUGAGAGCAAGCAGAAGAGAUGCAGGUCCUUGCAACAGGAUGCAUUCCACACAUGUCCCCUGGUGAGGUCCCAGGGGAUGUGGGCAGAGCCCAGCAGUGUCCACUACAGCCCACGCGUCCCAACUGCACCUGGGCUUUGGUGCAUGAUUACACAAGCUUGGCAAUGUCCAACCAGAAUCAAAGACGAAGCAUUCCGAUAUGAGGACCCUGGAGCCCUGUAUCCAGCAGAGAUGAGCUCCAGAACUUGAACCUCAGGCUGGUACUCCUCCCCACUCAGCUUCAGCCCCUGGGAAGCAGAAUUAAAUCCAUUCCACACAAUUUUGCAUAAUGGAGAUGUUACUUUGUGAUGUUAAUCACAUAUGCAUAAAGUUAAUAGUUUUGUGUUUAAGGAAAAGCCUUAUUUCCAAGGCUGUUCCAAGUUUUUAUCAAGUCUGUCUUUCUCCCUUGCCCUCCAUGAAUGUAAAUGCAGGAUCAAGGAAUGCCACAGGACAGAGAUAUUAAUAUUUGUUCCUCUGCUAAAGCUUAACACAGUCGAAAGAGCGUGGACUUUGGAACGAACCAAGCUAGUUUUAUUUCUGCUUUUGUGUCUUAAAAAAAUCCUUCUCAACUCUGAAGUCACGAAGAUAUACUUCAGUGUAUUUUCUAAAGGCUUUAUAGCCUUUCACAUUUAGAUAUUUAAUCCAGUUAGAAUUGAUUUUUCUAUCUGGGUUUUUUCCGGUUUAGAUUACACAGAUGUCAAAGAAACAUCUAUUGAAAAGACCAUCCUUUCUGCAGAGUAUCACCUUGUCAUAUAUCUAGUGUCCAUACAAAUGUGAGUUUGUUUUAGACUCUGCUCUAGUGGUCUGUUUAUCCAUCCCUGGAACAAAACCACGUGUUAAUCAGUAUGGCUUACAAGUCUUUUCAUCUAGUAGGACAGGUUCUCCUACUUUACUAUUCUUAUGGACUUCCUCACCAAUUCUUGCCCCUUUGUACUUCAGUAUAAACUAUAGAACCAGCUUCUCAAAGUAAUUGCUGGAAUUUUGAUUGGGAUUGCUGAAUCAAUAAAUCAUUUGGGGGAGAGUUGACAUACAGUACACUUCCUUCCAUUUAUGUAAAGUUAAAAGCUCAAAAAACUAUAAUACUUAGAGAGUGAUAAAUUUAAAAUACAGCAAAGAACCAAUUACCAUCAUAGUCAGUGGAGUGAUUACAUCUGAGAGGGUAGUAAGAGGCUUUGAUUUCGAAGGGAUACACAAGAAACCUUUGUUUUAUUUUUUGACCUCAUGGUAGUUAUAUGAGGGUCUACCUUGUAAUUAUUUAUUAAAACGUGUAUCUAU